ACUCAAAGGAAUUGACGGGGGCCCGCACAAGCAGUGGAGCAUGUGGUUUAAUUCGAAGCAACGCGAAGAACCUUACCAGCCCUUGACAUGGUCGGACGGUUUCCAGAGAUGGAUUCCUUCACUUCGGUGACUGACACACAGGUGCUGCAUGGCUGUCGUCAGCUCGUGUCGUGAGAUGUUGGGUUAAGUCCCGCAACGAGCGCAACCCUCGCCCUUAGUUGCCAUCAUUUAGUUGGGCACUCUAAGGGGACUGCCGGUGAUAAGCCGGAGGAAGGUGGGGAUGACGUCAAGUCUUCAUGGCCCUUACGGGCUGGGCUACACACGUGCUACAAUGGCGGUGACAGAGGGCAGCCAGGCCGCGAGGUCGAGCUAAUCCCUAAAAGCCGUCUCAGUUCGGAUUGCACUCUGCAACUCGGGUGCAUGAAGUCGGAAUUGCUAGUAAUCGCAGAUCAGCACGCUGCGGUGAAUACGUUCCCGGGCCUUGUACACACCGCCCGU
rnacentral:rRNA from 1 species